GGAUUUGCUAAAUUGCGGUCGCAAAUAAUGAUGAUCUUGAUUGCUUUUCAAGUCAGUGUUUUCCAGAAUCGUUGAGCGUGACUAGUAUAUUCUCGCUCCUUCUGUUCCCUGGACUUCACUUCCCUGGCUUAUCAUACCGACCCAUUUUCAAAUCAAA
rnacentral:rRNA from 1 species